UGCCUAACACAUGCAAGUCGAACGCGAAAGGGGGCAACCCCCGGUAGCGUGGCAGACGGGUGAGUAACACGUGGGUAACCUACCCGGAGGUGGGGGAUAACCCUCCGAAAGGAGGGCUAAUACCGCAUGACACCGCGGGGACCUCGGUCCUUGCGAUCAAAGCUGGCCUCUGUUUACAAGCUAGCGCCACCGGAUGGGCCCGCGCCCCAUUAGCUAGUUGGUGAGGUAACGGCUCACCAAGGCGACGAUGGGUAGCCGGCCUGAGAGGGCGAUCGGCCACACUGGAACUGCGACACGGUCCAGACUCCUACGGGAGGCAGCAGUGAGGAAUCUUGCGCAAUGGGCGAAAGCCUGACGCAGCGACGCCGCGUGGAGGAUGAAGGUCUUCGGAUUGUAAACUCCUGUCGAGUGGGACGAAUGCCGUGAGGGUGAACAAUCCUCGCGGUUGACGGUACCGCUGGAGGAAGCCCCGGCUAACUCCGUGCCAGCAGCCGCGGUAAUACGGAGGGGGCUAGCGUUGUUCGGAAUCAUUGGGCGUAAAGGGCGCGUAGGCGGCCGAUCAAGUCGGAGGUGAAAUCCCUCGGCUCAACUGAGGAAUUGCCUUCGAUACUGUUCGGCUUGAGUCCUGGAGAGGGUAGCGGAAUUCCCGGUGUGGCGGUGAAAUGCGUAGAGACCGGGAAGAACACCAGUGGCGAAGGCGGCUACCUGGACAGGUACUGACGCUGAAGCGCGAAAGCUAG
rnacentral:rRNA from 1 species